rnacentral:rRNA from 1 species
CGGAGGGUGCAAGCGUUAUCCGGAUUCACUGGGUUUAAAGGGAGCGCAGGCGGACUGGUAAGUCAGUGGUGAAAUACCUGAGCUUAACUCGGGAACUGCCAUUGAUACUAUCAGUCUUGAAUGUUGUUGAGGUUUGCGGAAUGGGUCAUGUAGCGGUGAAAUGCAUAGAUAUGACCCGGAACACCUAUUGCGAAGGCAGCAGGCUAAACAAAUAUUGACGCUGAGGCUCGAAAGCGUGGGGAUCAAACAGGAUCAGAUACCCUGGUAGUCCACGCCCUAAACGAUGAUUACUCGACAUACGCGAUACACUGUGUGUGUCUGAGCGAAAGCAUUAAGUAAUCCACCUGGGAAGUACGUCCGCAAGGUUG